UUUUUUUUUUUUUUUUUUUUUUUGUCUUUUGUCUUUUUGUCUGUUGUUGUUGUUGAUGUUGUUGUUGCUGUUGUUGCUAUUUCUUGGGCCGCUCCCGCGGCAUAUGUAGGUUCCCAGGCUAGGGGUCGAAUCGGAGCUGUAGCCACCGGCCUACGCCAGAGCCACAGCAACACGGGAUCCGAGCUGCGUCUGCAACCUACACCACAGCUCACGGCAACGCCGGAUCGUUAACCCACUGAGCAAGGGCAGGGACCGAAGCCGCAACCUCAUGGUUCCUAGUCGGAUUCGCUAACCACUGCGCCACGACGGGAACUCCUAAUUUUGUUGUUUUUAGAAGUGAAGUUGAGCUCCAGUCCUUCUAUUCCAUGAUCUUAAUCCUGUCUCUCUGUAGAUGUCCUUUUAUCUUCAUUUUUUUUAAGGGCUGUAGGUGUAGCAUAUAGUUAUACUUUUUAAUAUCCCUUUAGUUUCUUUGAACAUAAAUACACUUAAUUAAAAAUUAUUUUAUUAUAGUUGAUUUACAAUGUUCUGUCAAUUUCUGCUGUACUACACUUAAUUGAUUAAUUAAUUUUUUGUUUUUUAGGGCUGCUCCUGCUGCAUAUGGAGGUUCCCAUGCUAGGGGUCCAAUUGGAGCUGUUGCUGCCAGCCUAUGCUAGAGCCAUAGCAGUGCCAGAUCCGAGCCGUGUCUGUGACCUACACCACAGCUCACGGCAACGCCAUGAUCCUUAACCCACUGAGUGAGGCUGGGGAUCGAACCCGCAACCUCAUGGUUCCUAUUUGGAUUCAUUUCCACUGUGCCACAAAGGGAACUCUGCAUAUUUAAUCUUGCUUGAGCUUCAUAGUUUCUGUUUUUCAAGGAAUUUGUCCAUUUUAUCUAAGUUGUCGAAUUUUUAUACAGUUCAUAAUACUCUAUUCUUUUUUUUUUUUACAUAUUUAAAUACUUAGUAUAGUUAUGUAAAAAUUUAGACAUCCAUUGCUAUCACAUAUGCAUAUUAAGAAAUGUAUGGGUUCUUAUAGAAAUUUACAUACAUAAUUAAUAAUUAAUGUUAGUCAUUUUGCCUCAAAUUCAACAUCUUUCAAACCAUAGGUAAUAUUUUCUUUAAAUUUUGGCAUAAAUUUUGAAUAUAGAACCCACAGAGAAUCUUACGUAACCCGACACUCAACAAAAUCAAGUUUUAUUUGUUUAGAGGUUCUAGAUAUUUUCAAAGGCACAUAAAAUAUUUGUUUUAAAAGUUAAAAACUUGUGGCGAUCAUUUUGUACUGUAGAUAUACUGAAUCCCUAUGUGGUGCUCCUGGAACUAACACAGUGUUUAGGUUAAUUCUACAUCAAUUAAAAAUAAAGCAAAAAAAAAUAAAAAAACACUGCACGUAAGCCCCAUAGAAGUGUGUUUCAUUUAAAGAAAGCCACAACAGAAUCAUGGCUCACUGAAAUAUUAUUUGCAUUACAAAAGGACCCUUCACUCCAUAAAAGGAGUUGUCUGAACUCCAUUAAAUGACAACCCUUCAAAAAAAAAACCCAAAACCAAAAAAAAAAAAA
rnacentral:lncRNA from 1 species